CCUAUGGUAAAUAUUUUUUUGGGUGCAAAGGAGAUUCAAUUAAGUAAAGAAGUUGUUCAUUACAAGACAACGCCUAGUCAGGCACAAAAAUAAAAGAGGAUCCAAAGAAGAUCCCGUUACUAGGUACAAGACGGGUGAAAGUUUUUCCCAGUAAAUCUUCCCAAAAAGCAAAUCCUACAUUAGCUGAAGGUGUGGUGUAGACAUUGAGUCUUUCAAAAAAGUCCUGGUAUGAACCCUGCUUCGCCAAAAGAUCUGCUACUCUAUUCUUCUCCCGGUAUGUGUGGAGGAACGGAGGAUUCCCCAAGUUCCAUAGUAGAGAUCUGCAUUCAUAGACAAGCGCAUCAUAUAACAUGUUCCCAUUUUGCACUAUUUCAAUAAUUUCCUUGGAGUCAACACAAACCUCAAGAGGUUUUGUUGAAGAGCAAGAUUUAGGCCCUCUUUAAGGGCAAUGAGCUCUAUGAGGUUAUUUGUAGUGUGGGUAAAUAUUUUACUAAAACCCACAACCCAUUCCCCUCUUUCAUUUCUGAUGACCCCUUCAAUUCCCUCCUUCCUGGGUUACCAAAGUAAGAUACGUCAGUGUUAAGCAUGAAAACAUUGGGGGAGGGGGGACCAGUUGAGAUUGAUGAUGUUCCUAUUGGCGUGCCUGGGAGUGUUGCCUAAGUAUUGGUAAUCCACUGCUUCUGCAUAAGGUAUGCUGAAAUAGGGAUUGGAGGAAGAGCCUUGGAAUAGAUUGGCAUUUCUAGUUUUCCAGAGAUGCUACAGGCUAAAUGAAAAAAGGAUAGACCCAGAGGUAUUGGAAUUAAAAUCCUCAUUCUUCAAGCUUCUCCAAGUUGAAGCCCAGUUGGUGGUGUUAAAAUAGUGGAGAUUUAUGGUCAGGGGUCCUUUGUAUCUCUGAAUGAGAGCUUUCCAAAAGGAUUUAUCAAUGUCACAACCAAAGAAGAUGUGAUGUUGAUCUUUAAAUUGGUUACUGUAGGCAUGGAAAUUGGUUUGGAGAUUCAUCCCUCUUUUGGAGAGGGUCCCUUUAGAAGG
rnacentral:lncRNA from 1 species